UUUUUUUUAUAGAGACAGAUACCAAACCUUAUCCACCGUCAAACACUUCAGUUUAGUAUUUAUAUAUGAGCUGCUACAUAAGAUGGAGUACACAAACCAAGACUAAUAUGCUUGCAAAACGCAUUUAAAUAUGGUGUUGGAUGUUACGUAUGAAUGAGGUGUGUUGGUUACCGCAAAAAGGAGGCUCUUUGUUGUCUUUUGACAGUUUUGUAAUCACCACCCAAUUGCAGCCAAUAUGAUCAAUGUUAGUUAUCUUUAAACUUUUAGGAGUACUUCUAUGUUGAGAGUGUGUCUCUCUUUAGUUUUAGAUGGAACUAUCCCUUUAUAUAUAAAUAAAUAAAUUUCUUUGUGGUGAUAAUUUAUUAUGCAUAGUUGCAUGCUCUAUUAAAGUGAGGGA